AAGGAGGCAGAGGAUGGUCCAAGUGCUUGGGCCUCUGCUACCCAUGUGGGAGAUGUGGAGGAAACUCCUGUCUCCAGGCUUUGGCCUGGCCCAGCCCUUGGCCUGGCCGCUGCAGCCAUUGAGAAAGUGAACCAGUCGAUGGAGGAUAGCAUCUAGCCAACGGCCCAAUGCCUCGCUGCCUGGAACACACCAUGUUUUCAACAUUUUUAAAAGGUGGUAUCUGGAUGGCUAUACUAAAUUAUCAACUCAAGAAUUAAUCUGCUACAACAGGAUUGGAAGAAGCAGAGCUAACUGCGGAUGCUCAUGGGUGUUUGUGGAUGUUUUCGUGUGUACCACCCUAAACACUAAGGCAAGAUACCUCUUGUGGUUCACUGGCCAUGUAGCCUAGUGGCCAUUUCUCAUAUAUAAUCACUAACAGUAAGUAAAGAAGGUAUAAAUCUCCAAAUGGAUCCAAGUUUUCUUCACCUUUAAAAAUCCAAAUAUGCUUGUCCUGGAUCCAAGUUCCAGACUCAUAGAACCCCUGGAUUUUUAACUCUCAAAUUUGACUACACCAAACUUCUGGCAAUUCAUCAAAGUUCACGUUUUCCAAUCCUGGCAUUGGUUUCUCUGCAAGUGUUCACUCAGUGUCUGCAUCAGUAAAUCCCGACUCCCUGUAUUAGCCUGUCUCUCUAA